GACGAACGCUGGCGGCGUGCUUAACACAUGCAAGUCGAGCGGAGCGGCGAACGGGUGAGUAACACGUGGGUGACCUGCCCUCCACUCUGGGAUACGCCCGGGAAACUGGGUCUAAUACCGGAUAGUGGGGGAUGGGCCCGCGGCCUAUCAGCUUGUUGGUGGGGUGAUGGCCUAACAAGGCGGUGACGGGUAGCCGGCCUGAGAGGGCGAACGGCCAAAAUGGGACGGGGUAACGGCCCAGACUCCUACGGGGGGCAGCAGUGGGGAAUAUUGCGCAAUGGGCGGAAGCCUGACGCAGCGACGGCGCGUGGGGGAUGACGGGGUUCGGGUUUUAAACCUCUUUCGCCAGGGACGCGGGACCUGGAGAAGAAGCACCGGCCAACUACGUGCCAGCAGCCGCGGUAAUAC
rnacentral:rRNA from 1 species